CUGAGAGUUUGAUUCUGGCUCAGAACGAACGCUGGCGGAAGGCUUAACACAUGCAAGUCGAGCGCACCCUUCGGGGUGAGCGGCAGACGGGUGAGUAACGCGUGGGAACGUGCCCUUUGGUUCGGAAUAGCCCUUGGAAACGAGGAGUAAUGCCGAAUGUGCCCUUCGGGGGAAAGAUUUAUCGCCAAAGGAUCGG
rnacentral:rRNA from 12 species